rnacentral:rRNA from 1 species
GACGAACGCUGGCGGCGUGCUUAACACAUGCAAGUCGAACGGAAAGGCCCUGCUUUUGUGGGGUGCUCGAGUGGCGAACGGGUGAGUAACACGUGAGUAACCUGCCCUUGACUUUGGGAUAACUUCAGGAAACUGGGGCUAAUACCGGAUAGGAGCUCCUGCUGCAUGGUGGGGGUUGGAAAGUUUCGGCGGUUGGGGAUGGACUCGCGGCUUAUCAGCUUGUUGGUGGGGUAGUGGCUUACCAAGGCUUUGACGGGUAGCCGGCCUGAGAGGGUGACCGGCCACAUUGGGACUGAGAUACGGCCCAGACUCCUACGGGAGGCAGCAGUGGGGAAUAUUGCACAAUGGGCGGAAGCCUGAUGCAGCAACGCCGCGUGCGGGAUGACGGCCUUCGGGUUGUAAACCGCUUUCGCCUGUGACGAAGCGUGAGUGACGGUUAUGGGUAAAGAAGCACCGGCUAACUACGUG